GAUGAAGAACGCAGCGAAAUGCGAUAAGUAAUGUGAAUUGCAGAAUUCAGUGAAUCAUCGAAUCUUUGAACGCACCUUGCGCUCCUUGGUAUUCCGAGGAGCAUGCCUGUUUGAGUGUCAUUAAAUUCUCAACCUUAUUGGCUUUUGCUGAUAAUGGCUUGGACUUGGGGGUCUUUUUGCUGGCUUUCAUUAGUCUGCUCCCCUUAAAUGUAUUAGCCGGUGCCCCGCAGUGGAACCGUCUAUUGGUGUGAUAAUUAUCUACGCCGUGGACGUCUGCUAUAAUGGGUUUGCGCUGCUUCUAACCGUCUCUCGGGACAACACAAAUGACAAUUUAACCUCAAAUCAGGUAGGACUACCCGCUGAACUUAAGCAUAUCAAUAAGCGGAGGA
rnacentral:misc_RNA from 1 species